rnacentral:miRNA from 1 species
GUGAGGCGGGGCCAGGAGGGUGUGUGGCGUGGGUGCUGUGGGCUCAGGUGUGCCUGCAGGAGGCUCACCUGGCUGGCCCGCCCAG